GAUAGCAGCGAGAGCAACAUGUUGACGGCAGCCUGAAGAGACUCUGAAUCAGACGACCGAGGAAUAAUGUUUCCAGAUGACAGAAGUCUUCGGAUACUUCAACUCAGAUCAAUCUGUAAAUCCAUAGAAUGUGACCUUGCCACUCUGGAGACCACUCACUAAAUAAAGGCUUGAAUUAGACCAUGUGGGCAUAUCCUGGCUCCGCCAUCAAUUAGUUCUGGGACACAGGAAGACUUUUACUCUCCCUGGGCUUGAUUUCUCCAUCAUGAAAUGGUCUCCCCCAGCAACAACAGUCGGACUCUCACUACCACUUCCGUGCAUAUGGCACACUGCAGAAUGUGUCUUUGGAACCCUGAGAUGCCGUACCGGAAGUCCAGCUACCUGAAGCCACCAUGCUGGGGAGUCCACAAAGCGAAUGAUACUGGAGACAUUGUGCCAGCUGUUCUCACCCCCAGAGCCAGCUGAAGCCAAAUGGAGCAGUAAUGACCUACUGCCAAUUCCUGUCCAAAUAGUACAUUCAUAAUUAAAAUAAAUAUUGCUACAGCUGUAUGUAAGUAAAUAUCAGUGAGGUUUGUUACAUCAAUAACAACAAUACAAUGAAUCUUCAUGGAGCAGGGGGAUAUAUGAUGAAAAGGAGAAAUAUAUUUUAAGAUCCUGUAGUUUGAAAUUAAAACAAAUAUUCUUUACUGUAACAAACCCAGUUUUUUCCAUUUCCAAGAUUUAUUUAGCCCCACAUGCCUCCUGAGCCACCUCCUCAAUGGAGAGCUCCAACAGUUCUGUCUCCUGGUCUUCUACAACUACUGUCUUUUUGUCUUUUUCAGUAUUCCUCCAGGGGAGGAUCAGCCCUCAGCAGGGACUCUAUUGUACCCACUACAGGGAGCCAGCUACAACAGCUGCAGUGCUGUAUAAUCCAAGUGUCUACAGAGUCCCUGGUCCCUCUUGGCAAUAAUUAAACCAAAAGAGAGCACUGGUUAUCACAUGGUUUAAUAGAUAGGAUAAUUCGGCACGAGAAAAUGUUAAUUAUAGUGGCCAAUGUUAUUUUUGCUACUCAGCAUCUAUUAACCCACCAUCUGGUAACUUUAACUUAAUUUUGUUUAUUGUUUUCCAACUUGGAACGUAGGGCUUAUUAAAUGUGACCUCUCCACUGAUUUGCAAAUGUUGGAUGCGAGGGAAAAUACAAGAUUUCCUUGUUGACACAUACCACUAAAUGUAAAAGCCUAGAUCCAUAAAGCCAGUUUCCAAGGCUUAAGGGUAAAUGUUUUAUACUAGAAUAUGCUAUGAGCCUACAAGAAGAAUCUAAAUUAAACACAACCACAUUUUUCUUGCUAAUGCACCUACUACUUUAUCUUAAGGCAUUGGAUUAUUGUUAUGGUGUUUAAUCUGAUUCUAGUGCAGCAAAAGUAGGGUUGUAAUUAGGAACAACUUUAGAAAGCUUAAAUGUUUAUAGGACAGAUUAUUUGAUUAGUUGUUACAUUAUGUAAACAUUCAACAAAGUCAUAACCGAGAGAGAGAGAAAGGGCAAGAGAUAGAGUGAAGAGAGUUAUGAUUGUAUUAAAAGUUCAGCUUUUCAGUCUGUUCAGGGAUUAACUUGACUGAUAGGCCUAUGAUCUGAACUGUAAUUUAGGUUUUUCAAGGAUAACAUGUUCUCUGGAGUAGUAAGAAAAUCUUGUUGCAGUAUUUUUCCUAUACUUCCCUUAUACCUGCAGAACAUAAUUUUGUGUGCAUGGGGAGGAUAUGAUCACUGUACCUGAAGACUGCUCUUUAUUGUAGUAAUGGGGCCAUGUGUCACUGUUUUCACGGAAAGUGUCCAGUUUCCAGGACCAAAAAAAGGACCCAUUGUGCAAGGGAAAGUCAUUAUUAAUUUAGAUACAAUUUUAUUUCCGAACACUUGUCCUAGUAGUUCCAUCUCCUCAAGACCUCUUGUUAAGCCAACCAAACAAUAAUGAAGGUCCCAACCCCAUACACACUUUCUGACAUGCAAUCAAAAAUCAA
ensembl:lncRNA Novel transcript